rnacentral:rRNA from 1 species
AACCGAGGGAUCUAGUUAUUUAUAACGGUAAAAUAGUAAAGGAAUGUAAAGGAUUGCUAUAAAAAUAAUAUUAUAAAGUAAAAUUUGAAUAUAUUUUAAAACCUUAGAAGCUUUUGUCCCAAGCUAUGAAAUCCUUGAGGGAAACUGGGAUCAGAUACCCCAUUAUUCUUGGAUAUAAAAAUUUUACCAGGGUACUACGAACAACGUUUAAAACCCAAAGAGCUUGGCGGUGUUUUAGACUACCCAGGGGAACCUGUCUCAUAAUCGAUGAUCCACGUCACACCUGACCUCAUUUAGUUUUUGUUUGUAUACCGUCGUCUUGGUAACCUCCAAAAGGAAAAAAGUUAACAGGCAACACACAAGUGUUUGACGUCAGAUCAAGGUGCAGCUUAUAGUGAGGGGGGGAUGGGUUACAAUUAUUUAUUUAUAGUCGAAUAAGAUACUGAAAGGUCUCUUUGAAGGUGGACUUGGAAGUAAAAGCAUUUAGAUGGAUGUUUUGAAUAAAGCUCUGAAAUGU